GAUGAACGCUGGCGGCGUGCCUAAUACAUGCAAGUCGAGCGAACAGACGAGGAGCUUGCUCCUCUGACGUUAGCGGCGGACGGGUGAGUAACACGUGGAUAACCUACCUAUAAGACUGGGAUAACUUCGGGAAACCGGAGCUAAUACCGUAUAAUAUAUUGAACCGCAUGGUUCAAUAGUGAAAGACGGUUUUGCUGUCACUUAUAGAUGGAUCCGCGCCGCAUUAGCUAGUUGGUAAGGUAACGGCUUACCAAGGCAACGAUGCGUAGCCGACCUGAGAGGGUGAUCGGCCACACUGGAACUGAGACACGGUCCAGACUCCUACGGGAGGCAGCAGUAGGGAAUCUUCCGCAAUGGGCGAAAGCCUGACGGAGCAACGCCGCGUGAGUGAUGAAGGUCUUCGGAGCGUAAAACUCUGUUAUUAGGGAAGAACAAAUGUGUAAGUAACUAUGCACGUCUUGACGGUACCUAAUCAGAAAGCCACGGCUAACUACGUG
rnacentral:rRNA from 1 species